rnacentral:lncRNA from 1 species
GGCGUUGCAGCUCGUCGGCACGGGAGCAGAGCAGCGGGGCGUCGUGGUGGUGGAGCAGCAGGGCGGCGAGGCGGAGGUGGGAGCGGAGCAGCAGCAGCCGCGCAGUCGAUGGGUGAAACAAGAAUCAAAGGCGGUGGUCCGAAUUGCGCGGGACAUGUUGAAGCUCUACCGGCUGAAUCGCCUGAAACCGGAUUCGUGGCAUGAAGUUCCCGGGUACUCUUCUUCUCAUCCGUUUCCCUUUCUCUGGUCUAACCGAAUUCGUGCCAUUAAUCCAUUAUAGUUUCCACAGUUGGCGAUCGAUCUUAGCUGGGCAUGCCGUUUAUCAAAUGUAGUAGGAGGCUGGAACAGCAUUCAUGAAUCCAAUUAACCCUUCUACCAGUAUUUUAGUAAUCGUGUGCAUGCCGUUCUAAUUUUGUUUGCUACUCUGCAGGAGGUUGGAGCAUACGAAGAAGAGCCAGAGCUGGACGGGUGGGCCCACCCCGAAACGCACGGCCGAGGCCGACGAGUGCAGGAUCAAGUACAACUCGCUCGUUCACUACUGCAAACGGCGAUCGCAGCAGAUACACGCC